UACGGGGGGGGUAAGCGUUGUUCGGAAUUACUGGGCGUAAAGGGCUCGUAGGCGGCCAACUAAGUCAGACGUGAAAUCCCUCAGCUUAACUGGGGAACUGCGUCUGAUACUGGAUGGCUUGGAUUCGGGAGAGGAAUGCGGAAUUCCAGGUGUAGCGGUGAAAUGCGUAGAUAUCUGGAGGAACACCGGUGGCGAAGGCGGCAUUCUGGACCGAUAUUGACGCUGAGGAGCG
rnacentral:rRNA from 1 species